rnacentral:piRNA from 1 species
UCUGUACAUUGUCCCAGAGCAAAG